rnacentral:lncRNA from 1 species
GUUCCUCAACUUUGGCCACUUGUUGAAAUCCAGAGUUUGGCCCUUCUUGAUGAAGGUGGCAUCCAACAUCUUCUUAAAUGUUUGAAAUUGUGUGGCCAUCUUUUUCAGCGUCCAGGAUUUCACAUCAUCUUCAUUACAUCCUUUGGGAAAUGGGAAAUGUUUCUUAACAUAUAACCACAACAUUUCCUUUUCUGUAUCUAGGAGCACGUAUGGAUUAGUACUUUUACC